GACGUAGGGUGCAAGCGUUGUCCGGAUUUAUUGGGCGUAAAGAGUUCGUAGGCGGUUUACCAAGUCUGAUGUUAAAUACUGGAGCUCAACUCCAGCACGGCAUUGGAAACUGGUAGGCUAGAGUCUGGUAGAGGCAAGGGGAAUUCUCGGUGUAGCGGUGAAAUGCGUAGAUAUCUGGAGGAACACCGGUGGCGAAGGCGGCGUUCUGGACUGUAACUGACACUGAUGAACGAAAGCCAGGGGAGCAAACGGG
rnacentral:rRNA from 1 species